rnacentral:tRNA from 1 species
AGUUGCUCCUGGGGUCGUUUAUCUUGAAAAUAAACUUAAAGUGUUCAAUUCACUUAGUAACUU